rnacentral:rRNA from 1 species
CGACCGGCCACACUGGGACUGAGACACGGCCCAGACUCCUGCGGGAGGCAGCAGUGGGGAAUAUUGCGCAAUGGGCGAAAGCCUGACGCAGCGACGCCGCGUGGGGGAUGAAGGCCUUCGGGUUGUAAACCCCUUUCAGCAGGGACGAAGCGAGAGUGACGGUACCUGCAGAAGAAGCGCCGGCUAACUACGUGCCAGCAGCCGCGGUAACACGUAGGGCGCAAGCGUUGUCCGGAAUUAUUGGGCGUAAAGAGCUCGUAGGCGGUCUGUUGCGUCUGCUGUGAAAACCCGGGGCUUAACCCCUGGCUUGCAGUGGAUACGGACAGACUAGAGGUAGGUAGGGGAGAAUGGAAUUCCCGGUGUAGCGGUGAAAUGCGCAGAUAUCGGGAGGAACACCGGUGGCGAAGGCGGUUCUCUGGGCCUUACCUGACGCUGAGGGGCGAAAGCGUGGGGAGCGAACAGGAUUAGAUACCCUGGUAGUCCACGCUGUAAACGUUGGGCGCUAGGUGUGGGGUCCUUCCACGGAUUCCGUGCCGCAGCUAACGCAUUAAGCGCCCCGCCUGGGGAGUACGGCCGCAAGGCUAAAACUCAAAGGAAUUGACG